rnacentral:rRNA from 1 species
GACGAAGGGGGCUAGCGUUGUUCGGAAUUACUGGGCGUAAAGCGCGUGUAGGCGGCUGCCAAAGUCGGGUGUGAAAGCCUUGAGCUCAACUCAAGAAUGGCACUCGAUACUUGGUGGCUAGAGGACCGGAGAGGAUAGGUGGAAUUCCCAGUGUAGUGGUGAAAUACGUAGAGAUUGGGAAGAACACCAGUGGCGAAGGCGGACUAUCUGGACGGUUUCUGACGCUAAGACGCGAAAGCGUGGGGAGCAAACAGG